rnacentral:tRNA from 1 species
GGGCGCGUGGUGUAGCCUGGUUAACAUAUUCCCCUGUCACGGGAAAGAUCACGGGUUCAAAUCCCGUCACGCCCG